rnacentral:lncRNA from 1 species
UUUUUUUUUUUUACUUUUUCCACUCUUUUUUAAUUUCAUCUUCUCCGCCUUCCUUCAUCAUUAUUCUUGCAGUACGCCACCAUGGAAGGCAGUCAUAGCCGUAACCUCCUUUAAACCCAUAAACUCUAUCUCUAAAAAAUUAAAACCACCUCCCCCUACCACUCCACUUUAACACCUCUGAUUUGACCAUUUUCCUUCACAUCAAUCUCACACACCCAGAUCGAAGAGAAAAGGAGAGAAACUUCCUUGUAUGAAAAAUGGUAUAGGUGCAUCAAACUCUCAAAUCAAGUAUUAAAAUUAUUCCAACCUAAAUCCACGACCCAAUUGAUUAAGAGAACUUAUCUUUCUAUCAAAUCGAGGAGAUUAAAGGGAGAAAAUAUGAGCAAUAAAAUGGAGUUUGUAAAGGUAAGUGAAUAUGGCGGAGGAAAAAUAGAAGUGCGAAUAGAGAUUCAAUAAAAAAAAAACAGAGAAGCAAAAAAUAAAACAUGACUAGUUUCAAAGCAUGGGGAGGAAGAGGAUGGCACAAGAUGAUAAUGGCAGGCUAGUGGAGAACCAUGGUUCUGUUAAAAUGAAGAAAGAGAAAAAGAAAAGAAAAAUGAAUAAAAAAAGAGAAAAAAUAGUAUUAAGUUUAAUUAGUUAGAGUAUCCAAUAGGAAAGUGACACCUGGACAAUUAAAUUAGUUUUAAGUUAUUUUUUGUGGCUCACGCGCAUCAGGGAAAUGAACUGCUCUUUUCAUGCCAGGUCAUCACUCAAUGAGGUAUUAAAUUCACUUAAGAUUAGAAUAAGUGGGUAAAAGGUUGCCCGUAAAGUUUAGGUGUGUAAAUAAUUUUUCCUGACAAGUUUAAUGGGUACUUUAUGCAUUUUCUCAUUAACAAAUAUAAUCAAGUAACGGUGUCCACAAAGGAUGGUGUAAACCUAAAACUACCCGAACAUAAACAUGAAUAGUAGCUACGUACGGACUCUCGUCACCUCGUGCGUACAUAGCCCAAACAAAUAGAAGUACAAAUUGAAUUAUUUCACCUAUGGGGUAAAUUCUCUCUUACAAGGUUAGAAAGGAGACUUACCUCGCUCCGAAGUUCCAUAACUGGUCCCAACAUCGCUAUAACACCUCAAACCGGUGUUCAUCGCUACAAAACUAGUCAAGCGAUAUGCAAACAAUAAAAAUAUACUCUAAUACUUAUAAUAAAUCAAUUUGUAACAACUCCCAACUUCGUUCGAAAAGUAAAUAAAGUCAACCCUCGGUCUCACAUGCCCGUAUUUCAAAAAUUAUUGAAAAUAAAUAUUACCCAUAACUCAUAUGGUCUAUAUCGAAAAAUUCAUCCAAUUGCAUCCAUGAAUCGACCCUCAAAUCAAGGAUUUACCAUUUUUCAACUUUGGGGCUCAAAAUCCCAAUUUUUACAAUCCAAACACGGAUAAAAAUAGAAAGCAACAGAAAUAAUCAUAGAGAAAUAUCAAAAUAAAGGUCAUCUAUUUACCCCCUUGUUGGGACGAGAGCAACGCCACAAAUAUCACCUCAAACAGAGCUCUAGAACUCAAGAUAUGCCCAAAAUACUAAAAUUCUCAGUUUAAAACACUGUCUAGGCGAUUUUUCUUCAUUGCCUUUGCGGGAGACUUUCGCGUUCGCGAAGAGCAAUUUUUCGUGUUGACCGGUCAACCCAGAUAUCCGUCUUCACGUUCACAGAAAUUCUCUCGCGUUCGCGAGGAACAAAUCUUCGCACCAAAAACCAACAAUUUUGUCCGACAAGGAAAUGGGCAUAACUGUCCCAUACGACAUCGAAAUUCGACGAUUCAUAUUGCUAUGGCUCCAUAAUUAUGAUACAGAUCUAAUGGUUCAAUCCAAUCACAAGUAAAAGGUUGUUUUUUCAAUAUAGUGCCCUUUAUUCCCAAAGGAACGACGCUAAAACAUUAAAUAAGAGCGCGAUACAAUCCAAACACCUCCGAAACACACCCGAGGACCUCAGACCCCAUCCAAUCAUACAAACCAGUCCCAUAACAUACUAUGGACCUGCUCGUUGCCUCAAAUCACAUUAAACAAUAUUAAAAUCAUGAAUCACACCCCAAUUCAAGCUUAAUGAACUUUAGAACUUCCAACUUCCACAUUCGAUGCCGAAACCUAUCAAAUCACGUCCGAUUGACCUCAAAUUUUGCACACAAGUCACAUUUGACAUUAUGCACCUACUUCAACUUCCGAAAUCAGAUUCCGACCCCGAUAUCAAAAUUUCCACUUCCGGUCAAACUCCUCAAAAACCUUCAAAUUUCUAACUUUCGCCAAAUGACCCCAAAAUGACCUACGGACCUCCGAAUCCACUUCCGGACGCGCUCCCAAUAUCAUAAUCACCAUACGAAGCUAUUCCCAUACUCGAAAUCCCAAACUAACAUCGAUAACAUUGAAAUGCACUUCAACCCAAGUUUAUGAAAUUCUUCCAAAAUACUAACUUCCACAAUAGGUGCCGAAACACUCCCAUGUCAUCCAAAACCCGAUCUAGACAUACACCCAAGUCCAAAAUCAUCAUACAAACAUGUUGGAACCUUCAAAUCCUGAUUCCGAGGUUGUUUAUUCAAAAUCCAAACUAAGUCAGAAUCUUCCAACUUAAAGCUUUCGAACUAAGAAUUUUCUUUCCAAAUCAACUCCGAACUUUCAGAAAUUCAAUUCAGACCACGCGUACAAGUCAUGAUGCCUGAAGUGAAGGUGUUCAUGGCCUCAAACCGCCAAACAACGUGCUAGAGCUCAAAACGACCUGUCGGGUCGUUACAUUCUCUUGCACAUAAAUAUACAUUCAUCCUCGAACUUGCUAAGAACUACUCUGGAGUUGUUCGAAAUCACUGUUUAAUACCUCGUGCACCUACCUGUGCUGCCGCAACUCAGUUGAGCACACUAGCUCGAUCCAUUCUGAAGAUCCUCCCUUUUUACUUAGCCAAAUAAGCCUUAGAGUCCAAUUCCAACAUCCGGAAUUCUCUGCCAGGCCUGUUUCCAUCAUACGAAUAUCGUAUCAAUCACUACACGAUGCACCAAUAUAUGAUUGCAUACCUUUGCUGAAUCCACACUAUGCACUACAUAACUCACAUGACCAUAAUAACAUCCUCUUAUAAUAAUAGCCGAGAUUCAACGAAUCUGAUGCUCACACACACACCUCAUGACUCAUAUAAGUCUUGUUCCAACUCUUUCAAUACCGCCACAACGGAGAUGUGUAGAAAUUCAUAACUAAAUGCCGUGUCAACAAACUGCUAAGUCUCUUCUCCUGACAGGAACCAUUACCUCAUUAUGAACCAAAUAAUGAUAGUUGCUCUUUAAUAUACUUUAUAUGAUCUGAUCGCACUGAUCCCAGAUCCAAUAAUCUCGUCUCACCCAGUACGAUCUGCUCAGGCAAUAAGCCACCCCAUACACGACAAAAAGUCUCAUAUGAUGCCACAAUGUGCCAACAAGCUACCAACUCGAACGUGAUAUAUACAAAAAACAAACUCUGGAAAGGACUACUCAACCCAUGUACUAAUUAGACAAUAGAAAAGGUGUUAUGGACCUUCCCCAGCAAACGGGCAACAAAAUACACAAAAAUAAAUAUAGGGGACUAUACUCAACAUCACACUAUUGCGGUGUGCAAUCCAAUCCAAACGACAUACCCAUGGCGGCGUGCCACCCGAUCCACAUAUAAAAUCUAUAUAAGGAGAUACUUGCCGAGCUAGAAUGUUCAUUACUACAAAAUAUCCGAAUAUCGGCCACAAGUAUGCUAAGUGCAUAGUACCAUCUCUGGGGAGACAGAUAGCGCCAUACGCUACAGGACUCAAGCACAACUAAGGUGUGAUAUAUGAUUUGAAUCUCGAGAGCCAUCCUGCUCACAUAACACCAUCGCUACGCGCAACCUCAACUCAUAAGAAAUUUAUCAAGCUGUUUCAUAACUCACACGACACAAUAUAGUAUUACAUGAAAUAGUCGACGACGAAACGACAUCCAAUGUCUGAAUACUCCUCCAUAAGGAGCGUUAUGCUGAAAUGAACACAUCCGACCUGAUAUAGAGUCCAUAUUCAUAAAUAUAUCCAUCUACAGACCUCAAGUCAAUUUUGAUCAUACCGCACUAGGCAAAUAACCUUUCAAGGAACCACAAUAACACUUCUUCCCAAGACACACAAGGACAACCAUUGAUCCGAAACAACUUCCACAGUCCACAACCAAAUGAACCGAGCGCCCUUCAGGCAUAAGUCCUCAAAUAAAAGAUAGUACCAAUAAUCUCCACAAUUGGUUCUAAAUCUUCAAUCAAUCAAGUGACUACAUGUCACACUUACACAAUUUUCCCAUGGGAUACGCUCCCACGACCUUCCGCGCUAGGUAACAAGGUCUGUAUAUCCAUACCACCGGCCAUACAAUGCUUCCAAGCAAAUCAAAAAUCCACAAAUCAAUACACAAGGUCUCUUACACAUGACAUCGACCUUAGGUGACGCUGAAAACAAUACCAUCUUACUUUGAACAUCUAAAUCCUCUUCCUUCUCAUCCGAGCUUAUGACAUCCUUGUCAACACCAAACCGUAAUCUUGAUCCUCAACUUUCGAAUUUCACACCGCUCACUACACCUAACAUACCUAUACACGAUAGUACAAGAAUUUUACCAUGAUUCCUGAACCACUAAUAGAAUAACACUUCUCUUCACAACAACCCUUUACUUAACUCCUUUCAGGAGAAUCAUUGCAACAUGCAACUGAAUUCCCAUAACAACAGAAAAUACAAUCCUCAGGUAGUGGUCUAAACCACCAUGAUCCUUCCAGAAUCCAUCUACACAUAACAUGCCAUAAUACUUGAAUGCCUCCAAAUAAAAUCAAUUACGGCAACAGUCAAGCCUCACACGUACCGCCACAAAUCACAUGCAUAAUUGAACAUGCUGAAGGAGCUGAUCAUAGCCACCAUCAUGCCAAUUCAACCACUGCUAGCCGACCCAUCUUCUCCUAAUUUAUUCUUAACAUGCCUUAGAAAUUAUAAUAUCUCCAUUCAAAACAUAAUGAGCCCAUAUCUGCACACAUCCUGAGUGACCUUAUUUCACGAGACGACGUUGUCCCAAUACCCAUGAACCAUCUCACAUCCUCCUUAAGCGCACAAUAGCCUCGCUAACUGGUACACCCAUUAUGAUAAUUCCUCUAUGAAUCCGAAGUCAUUUUUUCUCAUUCUUCCCAAGCGCCUCUUUCAUAAUCCGCUGCAAAAGGUCGAUUCUUAACCAUACUACGGACUUGAAAUCCUUAGGCACCACAUUUUAACUUUUGAAUCCAAAAGGACAGUUGUUGAGAGUCACCCACUCUGACUUAGUCCCGAAUAUAAUUAACUCCAAGGCUCUGCUAGCACAUGAACACCCUCUUCAAAUAAAUGCCCGGCCGAAUCACCUUUCUUGUAAAUCACCUCUACACGAAGCAUAAAUCCUGAGUCUUCUCGAAGCCUGAACAUAAAUUGAUAAGGUUAAUUAUAACACACAUUCCUCAAAUCUUUUUCUCAAUCGCCACUAAUAUUAUAUUUCCUUAGUCGUAUUAACCCACCAAUAUUCCGAUGACCAGAAACCUCAUUAGUAGACAACCAUACAAUCCAAUCGUAGGCGGUGGGGCUCUCCCACUUAGCUUGAAGCCACCUAUUACAUAAUUCUAGAAUCCACCGAGAUUCCUUAUCCCCCACUGACAUGGUCUUGCACAAUCAACCCGCCAAUUCCUCAAAAUCCUUCUGUUAGCAUUUUAUGAACACUCUAAAUCACUAACCACAUUUACAUAUUCGACCUCUUAUUGGAUAGCCAAUAGAAUAUUUCGUAGAAGCUUCAACGACACCACGCGACUGCUAACCUGGUCGUAGGAAAUAACCCACAUGUGGAAAUUCCAUGCUGACAUCACUCAACGAUGCUACACUGAGCACCAUUACUACAAAAUUAGUAAUCUAUCCUGAGCCCGUGCUUAUUUACUGGUCGUACAACCCGUUCACUUCUCUGGACAUCAACUAGAGGUGUGACAAUAUCUUCCGAUCCAAUGUCAUGUUGUAUCCUUCUUCAUAUCCAACAAACUCCUUUCUGUCGUAUCCAAUCUCCCAUCGUAUAAUAGCCAAUGUUCCAAAUUAAGUCCGUACACCUAGUCACUGUCUACCAUGGAUCCGAAAUCACUUUAAACUUUCCUCAAGGGUUGUAGCUAUCCCACCACAGAAUCCAUAUGCUACUCUGCCACUCUCCCACUUUGGUCAAACUCGCUCCUUCAAGCAACUACUCGCUCCUGCUUCUCACACUUGGCCUUUUAGAAGUUUAACCACUACAAGAUACCUCCUACAUGUCCUUCCUUAUCCUUUGCUACUCAGUUGUUGCCUUAAAUAAAAAUCUAUCUCUGUAGCGCCUGAACUAAUUGAUCACUAUUAGCUUUAAACCUUUCCAAAAAUCAUCUUUCUCAAGAAGUCAACAUUAGAAAUACAGAUUUGAUUCCAAAAUUGUUGCACUCCGCUAUCUCUGACGGCUGUUUCCCCCGGCACCAUCUCACACUACUCUGCCCUGAAGGAAAAUUGAUGAAGACCAUAACACCGACUAACUUAACACGUUCAAUCAAGAGCGAUGAUACCACAUCACAUAUGGAAAUUCCUCCACGAUUGAAAAUACCAAGUAUCAUUACUCUAUCAACCCCAAAUCUGAACAUUCAUAACCCCAUUGUUUUUCCUCCGCCGGAAAUAAAAUAUUGAAUCCCUGAAUCAUGCACCGAGUAAAUCUCCUUUUAAGUCAUUCAUUACCUCAACACAUAGACAAACAUCCUACCAUUACACAACAUUGUGCGAUAGCAACGCAUGAAUUAUCAUAACAAUCAAUGGCAAAUCUCAAAACCUUCGGUAGUACUGAUACUGAGUUCAAACGACAGGAUGACCUUCCGCAAGGCGACGACAAUAGCCAAAUCAAAUACGCAUGGAGAAACAUUCUUCACCACAUCUGUAGUACCAUUACAAUUCCUAAAUUCUCGCUUUGUAACAAGCACUUUACAUUGCAUAAGAUUGCGUAGGAAAGAAACAAAGGCAUAAGCCUCAAAGGAAUCAAAUCGCACGAUGAGGAAUCAAGAAGGGAAGUGCUCCUAACAACCCUGUAGCCUCUCGAAGAUAAAUACAGACGUCUCCGUACCGAUAUGCAAGACUUUAAUAGACUUGCUCAUGACUCGUGAGAACUAAGUGAACCUAGUGCUCUGAUACCAUGUUAUCACGACCCAAAAUCCGUUAAAGCUCGUGAUGGCGUCGAACACUAUUGUUAGGCAAGACAAUAAUAAAUAGUUAAUUAAAUUCUUAUUUUUAUAUUUUUGAGAUCAUAAAUUCCCUUCAACUUAACUAGUAAAAGAUGAACUUUACAGAAUAAUAAUAUUUUCCAAUUUCAAUACUGAAUAUCCCAUAAUCAUCCCAGAACCUGGAGUCACAAAUGCAUGAGCAUUUACUAGGAAUUAAAAUAAAAUGCAGUAACUGUCCGGAAUAUAAAUUUAGAUAGAAAAGAAAAAUACAAGUACUCUGAAAGAGACUCUGCUAGAUGCGGAUCGUCUCAUAAGAUGCUGCUCACCUAAGUCCCCAUAUCAAUCAUGCCGAUGCGCCCACAAGACCACUAGACUUACAUGUGCCUGUACAACAAAAUGUACACCAAGUGUAGUAUGAGUACGAAAACAACGAGUACCCAGUAAGUAUCCAGUCUAAUCUCGAAGAAGUAGAUGUGACUCCGACAGUUACUAUUGCCAACAAUAAUAUACCGAUAAUAUGAUAACUAAUGAAUUUAUUUACAACAACUAUAAGCUCAAUUUUUUGUUAAUAGGAGAUCUCAUAAUUUAUUUUCAUCUUUUAAUAAAUUUAUAUCUCCGGCCAAUGAGGCCACAUCAAUAAUAAAAAAAAAUCCAAAACUGUCAAUUAAGUCAGGUGCAAAUCAUGCCGAGGUUGUACGACACGAUCCAACAUAAUAUUUAAAAUGUGCACUACCGAGGGUCAAACGACACGAACCAUAGAUGCAUCUAUUUACCCUGCUCGCGAAUCAGACAUCCGAUGCGGUCAAACAUAAAUUUAAGGAAUAACCCCACUCGCAAAUCAUAUAUGUGACGCGGUCAAAUAUAAAUUUAAGGAGUUUCCCCGCUUGCAGAUCAUACUUGCAACGUGGUCAAAUAUAAAUUUAUCAUUAGAUCAUAACCCUUUCUUGAUUCUUUUCAAAAUAAAGAUAAUUCAACUUGAAACUUUUAAAUCCUUAAAAAUCCUCAACUUAGUUUCAUUUGAUACAAUUAACAAAUAUAAUCAAGUAACGGUGUCCACAAAGCAUGGUGUAAACCUAAAACUACCCGAACAUAAACAUGAAUAGUAGCUAUGUACGUACCCUCGACACCUCGUGCGUACGUAGCCCCCACAAAUAGAAGUACAAAUCGAAUCAUUCCACCUAUGGGGUAAAUUCCCUCUUACAAGGUUAGAAAGGAGACUUACCUCACUCUGAAGUUCCAUAACCGGUUCCAACAUCGCUCUAACACCUCAAACUGGUGUCCGUCGCUCCAAAACUAGUCAAGCAAUGUGUAAACAAUAAAAAUAUACUCUAAUACUCAUAAUAAAUCAAUUUGUAACAACUCCUAACUCCGCUCAAAAAGUAAAUAAAGUCAACCCUCGGGCCCACGUGCCCGUAUUUCGAAAUUAUUGAAAAUAAAUAUUUCCCAUAACUCAUAUGGUCUAUACCCAGAAAUUCAUCCAAUUUCGUCCAUGAAUCAACUCUCAAAUCAAGGAUUUACCAUUUUUAAACUUUGGGGCUCAAAAUCCCAAUUUCUACAAUCCAAAUAUGGAUAAAAAUAGAAACCAACAGAAAUAAUCACGGAGAAACAUCAAAUUAAAGGUUAGAUAUUUAUCCCCUUGUUGGGACGAGAGCAAAGCCGCGAAAAUCACCUCAAGCGGAGCACUAGAACUCAAGAUAUGCACAAAAUCCUAAAAUUCUAGGUUUAAAACAUCGUCCAGGCGAUUUAACCUUCGCGUUUGUGAAGAGCGAUUUCUCGCGUUGAUGGGUCAACCCAGAAAUCCGUCUUCGUGCUUGUGGAACAUCUCUCGCGUUCGCGAGGAACAAAUCUUCACACCAGAAACCACCAAUUUUGUCCGACACAAAAAUGGACAUAACUUUCUCAUACGACAUCAAAAUUCACUAAUUUUUGUUGCUAUGGCUCUGUAAUUACGAUACGGAUCUAAUGGUUCAAUCCAAUCACAAAUAAAAGGUAGUUUUCUCAAUAUAUUUCCCUUUAUGCCCAAAGAAAUGAUGCCGAAACUAUAAAUAAGAGCGCGAUACAACCCAAACACCUCCGAAACACACAUGAGGCCCCCGGGACCCCAUCAAAUCACACAAACCAGUCCCAUAACAUAACACGGAUCACACCAAGGCCUCAAAUCACAUCAAACAACAUUAAAAUCAUGAAUCGCACCCCAAUUCAAGUUUAAUGAACUUUCGAACUUCCAACUUCCACAUUCGAUGCUGAAACCUAUCAAAUCACAUCAGAUUGACCUCAAAUUUUUGCACACGUCACAUUUGAUGUUGCAGACCUACUCCAACUACUAGAAUCAAAAUCCGACCCCGAUAUCAAAAAGUCCACUUCCGGUCAAACUCAUCAAAAACCUUCAAAUUUCUAACUUUUGCCAAAUGAUCCCAAAUGACCUACGAAACUCCGAAUCCACUUCUGGAUGUGCUCCCAAAACUAGAAUCACAUACGGAGCUAUUCCCGAAUUUGGAAUCCUAAACAGAUAUUGAUAACAUUUAAAUGCACUUCAACUCAAAUUUAUGAAAUUCUUCCAAAAUGUUAACUUCCACAAUAGAUGCCGAAACGCUCCUAGGUCAUCCAAAACAUGAUCCGGACAUAUACCCAAGUCCAAAACCAUCAUACGAACUUGUUGGAACCUUCAAAUCCCAAUUCCGAGGUCGUUUACUCAAAAUCAAACCUUAGUCAUAAUCUUCCAACUUAAAGCUUUCGAACUAAGAAUUUUCUUUCCAAAUCAACUUUGAACUUUCAGAAAUUCAAUUUUGAUUAAGCGUACAAGUCAUAAUACCUGAAGUGAAGCUGCUUAUGGCCUCAAACCAUCGAACGACGCAUUUGUUUACCUCAAAAAAUGGUAAUUACAAUUAGAUUAGAUUUCGUGGUUCUAAAAAUACGUGAUUUAUUUUUAUGCUAGUCGUUAGGUAGUAGGUGCUAAGUGUGAGCUAAGAAAAAGAGAUAAGAGCUUUGAAGUUAAUAUGUUAUGCAAACCGAAAGGCGGGAAUCAUGACCUCGAGCUAGCCUGCGCCGGGCCUCGAAAUCGAGCUAAAACACGAGACUAGGACCGAUUGAUGGAGAACUAACAGUUCUAAGAGCUUUAAUGAGGGCUCUUUAUGAUCAAUGAUGAGUAACAAAUGAAGAACAAUCAAUGACACACAAUAAAUGUAAGUAAUGAAUCAAAGGAAAGACAAUAGAGAGUGUUUAUGUUAGAGAGCAGAGAAUGUUCUUGUUCUUGUAUUGAAUAUCACGUGUGCAAAAAAUAACAAGGGUCCCCUUUAUAUAGGAGGGGGAAUCCCAAUAUAGUGCAUAUGCAUUUAUUACAAGGUAUGUGGCUGGUACAACCAUUUAAUGCCAUGGUAUGGGCUUGUACUAUUCUUAUGGACUUGGUCAGCUCUAACCACUCGCCUUGGUAAUCUCCCACUCGUUCUUCAUAGCCACUGAUUUGUACUGCCCCAUGGUCGAGUUGUGCCUCGAGCCUUCUGGUUCAUCAAACCUCUAGCCGUGUCUCGAGCCUUCUAGCAAUGAGCUAUGGAAUGCCAUAAUGAUCCCAAAUUAGACUUUUCGAUUUUGGCUGUAUGCAGAUAGUCCCCGCGUUUCUUAGAGUGAAAUGAUAAGAAACGGUCUUCACUCUAAGAAACAGUCUUAAAUUCUUGCCUCUUCGAUAUUCCCACUAUGAUGUUAGCCCAUUAGAGAAUUAAAUUCCAUGACUCAACGGCUGCGUAGAGGUCGCUAUCACAAUUAUUGAGAAGCCCACGAACCGUCAUUGGUUUGACCUUUCCGCUCCUCAAACAUCGCCCAAAUGGCUCCUAUAAAUACUUCAAUUUGUUUCGCUAGUAACACUUUUACAACAUCAAGUUUUUAGGGCUAAGUUCACCAUCUUCUGCAUUCAUCUCCUUUUUGUGCUUGCCUCUUCAUCCUCUUUCUCGCAAACCUUUUUUAUAGUUAUGGCUAGAACCUCCAGAAAGGUACCUCAGAAAGAGGGAUCCACUUCUUCAUCACACUCGUCUAGGGGAAAACCAAAAGUACCUCCAAGCAUCGAACAAUGUACCCCUAGCAACUUUGAUACUGUGUCCGAUUUUACUAUAGAAAACCCCCUUCUACACCGGGCCGAUGCGAGCCCAUGUCUCAGUAGAUCAGCGUGGUGACCGACACAAAGAGGGUAAAGGAACACUUCUGAUAGAGGGAGGCAGUGCAAGUAGGGAUCCCCAAACCUGAGGAAAUCAUAGUAGAUGACAAAGUUGGCUUCCUUGGCGUAUAUACAUAUCCAUUUACUCUAGGUCCCGUAGAUCCUUAUUCCCCGAAGAUAGAUCUGGUGAUUCUUGAUUUUUGUCGUGAGUACCGAGUGACACUUGGUUAAAUCUAUCCUUAUUUUUGGAGGAUCGUUUACAUGCUCCAAUAUUUCUCCAAUAGGGUCGAGGGAAUGACCUUCACCCUCUAUCAUUUGGUCAGGCUGUACAGCCCUCGCCUCUUCUGAGGUUUGAUCAAGCUUCAUCCUGGAUCUCUGAAGACAUUCUUUUCGAGCAUCAAUGAGGACAAGGACUGGGGGUGGAUGAGCCAGUUUGUCAGAGUAAGGACAUCGGACAUCAUCCUGGCUGAUAGGAUGCCAUUCGCGGAGGAAUGGAACAUGAAGCGUAAGUGUCCCUACCUCGAGUACAUUUUAUUGCCCCUUCUUUCACCUUCUGAAAUGAUCUUCUUUUGACUAUGUAGCUAUUGUUUGGUACCCCGACGCAGUUCAGAACCUUUCGAGGUGGAUCAGACAGUUAGACUUUUCAUUUCCUUAUAGCGAGCGUGCUUGGCGUGAUUUGACCAAGAUGCAGUGGCAGGCUAAGAACUAUGGUAAGCACUCUUAUUGUCAUUGCCAUAUUUUUUAUAAGUAUACUUUGUGGCGAUGAAUUUACUACGACAUGCUUGUAUAGGCCUCGGGAAGGUGCGUUGAUGAGGCCGCCUCGUCUUGGCGAAGAAGGAACCUCGAAACCCAGCAAAGGUAAGAAGAGGAACUUUGACCGAGUCUCCAACUAAGACCGAUGCCACAGUCCUGACUUUGAUUGUUGCGGCAAGUCUUUGUGAGGAUGAUGAUGACGAUGAUGAUUGCCCUUUGGUACAAAGGGCAAGACGGAGUGCUGAUGCUCCACAAGUUGUUGGUCAGAAUGCCGCUGGGUUGGGAAUGGUCUAUGCGGACCAAACUCGUACUAGAGAGACCCUCGAGGAAGGUUUGGACGUAGUCCCCAAGCCUCAAGUCGGACAUGGUACAGUCCGUACUGAUGAAACCUCAGCUGGCAAUUCCAGAGGGCCUGACCACGAAGUUUCUUAGGGUCAAGAUGAAAACCCUUACAACAAUUGAUGCCCUAUGUGGAUUUAAAUUGGGCCCUUCAUUUUCAUGGGAGGAAAUUAGGGAUGCCCAGGAUACGGGUACCGCCGGUGUGGGGGCCUCUCAUGGAGAGGAAGAUAUGCCCGAGGACUACUUCAUCAGCAUCGAUGUGGACACAGACCUCGAAACCCCCAUCACUCUCGAGGAGGCCGAGAAUCUUCAACAACAGGUAAUAUUCUCGACAUACCAUUUGCGCUUCAAGUUUUUACCUUGUCUUCUCAACUUUUCUGCUUUUGUUGUAGGUCAAAAAGUUGUAUGACCAUGCCUUUUCUAAGCUACAUGAAAAGCUUUCAUGCCGUGAGAAUGAACUUGAGAAGCUCACCUCGAAGCUAAAUAAGUCGGAGGCUUCCUCCACCCGAGGAGUUGGGUGAGCUUCGGGCAAGCUUGGAGGGGGUGCAUCAGGAAAGGACCAACUUUGCCGAGUAGGUAACACGACAUUCAUGUGCUCAACCUUUUAUUCUUAUAACUUGAUGCUCAUGAUCUUGUUUUGCCUUUGCAGAUUGGCCAAAAGGAUGCCCUAGUGGGGCAACUUCGGGAAGAGGUAGUAGCCAAGGACACAGAGAUCCUCGAGCUAAAGAGGUAAAAUGAGAUCGUGACCACAGAGAGAGAUAUUUUACGGGGAGAGUUGGCCUCGACCCAGGAUAUUCUUCGAACUACUCGGAAGGAGGUCACUGCAUUAUCUGCGGCCAAGGCUGGGGCCGAUGAAGAUGUGUCCUCAUACAAGAGAGAUGUCGCCAUUGCAAACGCUCGGGCCAGGGAGAUAUCCGAGAAUGCCGGGCAGAAGUUGGCUCGGGCCGUUGCUUAUGCUCGUCUGCAAGCUCGGAGGCAGGUGUUACAUUUCGUGUUUUCGUACGUUAAAAGUUUCAUAUUUAGUUAAUCGACAUAGUCUCGAGGAUGAUAUUAUCUUGAGGUUAGUAUAGUUACGCUAACUAUAACAAGCGAUAAUUACGUUUCAUGAAGGAUAAAAGGGUACAUGAAUUAAAGAAAAUGAGUUUCGUUGAAAAUGACCAAUUUGGGAUAAAGUACGGGUUGAGUGAUACUACCCGAUAAUUAUGGACUAGUACCAUACAAGGUACCAUAUGACCGUGAUAAUAUGAUAUGAUAUGAUAUAUAUAAAGUAUAUUAAAAAUGAGUAGUAUUUUUAGGUAAUUUGAGAUAAUUCUUAAUUAUAUGGAUAAUUGAUUAAUUACCGGGUAACAGGAUAUUACCCAGUUAACUGAUAAGUGGAUUAAAAAAAUUAUAAAUUAUGUUCCCCCAUGUGGCAUAAAGCUACAAUGGCUAAACAUGACUCAUAGUCAUUAUGCCAUGUGGCUACGUAGGAUUUAAUUAAUAAUCUAACCAAGUAAGACUUGAUUACAAGUCUUACCUAAUUAGGAUAAGAACUUGGAUAACUCAUUCUUGAUAUAUCAAUCCUAAUUCAAAAGAAACGCGAGAGUCAGAAGUAAUUUCAUUCCAAUUUAAACGAAUCCAAAGCAAAAAAGAGAACAAAGUAACGUUGCCAUUCCAUAAAGCAAGAAUGUAUUCUUUCUUGAUUUGAAAAAUUCAACAACAGGACUAGAAAUUCGUUCAGUACCUCAACAAGCAAGAAGCUUGAAGUUUCGUUCAAGAAUUUCGAAGAAGCAGAAGCUAAUCUCGUUCAACAAUUUCAAAAAAAGCAGAAGCUUAAUCCGAUUUUUGGGGUUCUAAGUUCAAUCCAUAAAGGUUUCCAACGGAAUAUUAUACGGAGUUUUCCCUACUCCAGGUAUGUUAAGGCCAUCCCUUCUUUCUUUUGGCCUUGUCCAAAUUAUAUUGAAGAAAUAAGCAAACACAUAGUUUCCCAAAAUUUCUCUAUUUAUAGAAAUACUAGGGGUGUCUAUAUUCUUGAUUCCCAAUGAGGAUUAUUAUUAUCUUCUGUUCAUGGGUCUCAGAAUAAUAGGCAGUUGAAAAAAACGUUUAUCCGAAAGGAAUAUUGAGAUUUUUACGUAUUUUUCAUGCAUUUCACCCAUUUAUACAUGUGCAUUGACCCUUGACCAGAUGGCGUUAUAUACGCGUAUAUAUGUAAAUAUAUGUAUAUUGGAUAUGGGAAAAGGUUACAGCGUUAUAUAUGCACCACCACCAGAUCAGCUCGUAUAUGUUGAUGAUGUUGCCCACAGUGGCAGAGACAAUACAAUGAGAUGCCCUCAGUAAUUAUGUACACUCAUAUAUAUGCAUGACAUGACAUUUAUACGCACAUGCAUGACAUUAUAAAUGUUUCAGAAUUUACAAAGUUAUUCAGAUUUUAAGAUGUAUUUCUUUAUUCCAUGUUUCAUCUAUGUCUUUUACAUACUAAUUUUCAUGCCUUACAUACUCAUUAUAUUUUUCAUACUGACGUCCUAUUUCACGUGGCGUGCGUUUCAUGCCCGUAGGUGCAGGUAGGCAAGUUGACGGUCCCCCUUCUUAGGAUCCCUGAUCAGCGAGUGUUGGCAUGCUCCAUUUGUUCCGGAGCUACUUUUGAUUUUAGUAGGAUACGUUGUUAUAUAUAUAUAUAUGUGGGUAUGACGUAGAUCAGUCCCGUCUUUGUACAUUUAUGUUUCCAUUAUAGGUAUGUAGACAAUAUGUCUAGUUGGAUAGUAUGCGGCCUUGCCGACUUCUAGUUUUGAGAUGUAUAAUUGUCUAUAGCAGCCUUGUCGGCUCGCCCUAUGUAUGUUGCACGUAUAUGUAUGCAUGCCUUUUGGACAAAUUUCCUUCAUGUGUAUUAUUCUCGUAAUUCAACAGAUGUUAUUCAGGUUUAUAUCUUAGGCGCUUGAUUAGGGGUGUCUGACAGGUAAGACUCGGGCACCCAUCGCGGCCCAUCAAGUAGGGUCUUGACAAAAGUGGUAUCAGAGCAGUUCUGUCCUAGGGUUGUCUACAGACCGUGUCUAGUAGAGUCUUGUUUAUGGGUGUGUUGUGCACCACACUUAUAGACAGGAGGCUACAAAUAUAUAGGAUGUUAUAUUCNCUUUUUAUCUCAGAUUGUGCGAUACAAGAAUUCAUGUUUCUAACAAUAUGUUAUAUUUUCAACGAUGCCUCCAAAGAGUACGACUGCCCAGAAGGGAAAGUCUGUGGCUAGUGAGACUACUAGUCGAGCGCCACAAUUUACCAGCGCUAGGGGGACUCUCAUGGUGAGGCUCCAUCUCAGAUGUCACAUACCCCGCCCUUUCCAAAAGAGCUCCGAGGGGCACCAGCCCUAGCGCCCACCCCUGUACAUUCAACACCUUAGCCAGAUACACCAGGUCAGCAGAUGAGAGAUGCUAUUCAGCUAUUAACCCAAUUAGUAGCCGCGCAGGCGCCGCGUCAGGAAAUAGGUUUGAUGAGAGGUGAUGCAAGCAUAGAUCAGUUGUCGGGAUCUGAAGCUGGUUUGUCAUCAUCAGUACGCCCCCAGGGCAAGGUCCCCAAGCACCAAUGAGUCGUGGUAGAGGUAGAGGCGGAGCAUCUAGCUCGAGCAACCCUCAGAACCGCAUUUAUGCGUUGGCAAGAUGACAGGACCAAUAGUUAUCGCCUGAUGUUGUUACAAGUAUAAUAUCAGUCUCCUCAUAUGAUGUAUAUGCAUUGAUUGACCCUGUGAGCACCUAAUAUUUGCCCUAUUUGAAAAUAACUCCUAAAGAAUAGACCAAAAUAAUUUUAAUUGAUUUUUAGGAGUUUUUCUUUAUUUAGUUGCCUUCCAUGCAUUUUUAAUAUUUUAAAAUCAUAAAAAAUUAUAAAAAAAAAUUGUCGCAUUUUUAUUCCAUGCCAUCUUAGGUUUAGUUUGCAUUUAGGAAUUUAGUUUCAUAAUUUAAUUGCAUUCAUUAAACAAAAAUCAUAAAAAUUACUACAAUAGACAUGUCCACAUUUUAUCUUUUAUUUUAAAUUAAUUAGUGCUAAAUUAGUAAAAAUAAGUAAAAUUGACUUUACGAAAUAAUUUAAGGUAGAGCCUAAUUUAGGAUUUUAUUUAGUUUGUUUAAUUAAUUCAAUUAGAUUUUGAAAGAAAAAGAAGAAAAAGAAAAAGAAGUAGAUUUGGUCUUUUAAUUUCGUCUGGGCCAGCUUAACUUGAAGCCCAAAAAUCCCAAAUAACCCAUUUACCCACUCUCCAGCCCAAUUGUUUUGGCCCAUUAACCCUUACCCUAAUUAAAACCUAAUCCCUAAUUCCUUAUAACAAUCAGUCUUAUACACAUUAAAAAGAGAACCCUUCCCCCUAGACAAGAGAAUAAAAAACGACGCUGAAAUUCCGCCCCCCUUCUGAUCUUUGGACUUUGAGCGCUGCUGCUCAAUUUCUUCUUCUUCUUCUUCUUCUUCUUCUUCUUCUUCUNNNNNNNNNNNNNNNNNNNNNNNNNNNNNNNNNNNNNNNNNNNNNNNNNNNNNNNNNNNNNNNNNNNNNNNNNNNNNNNNNNNNNNNNNNNNNNNNNNNNNNNNNNNNNNNNNNNNNNNNNNNNNNNNNNNNNNNNNNNNNNNNNNNNNNNNNNNNNNNNNNNNNNNNNNNNNNNNNNNNNNNNNNNNNNNNNNNNNNNNNNNNNNNNNNNNNNNNNNNNNNNNNNNNNNNNNNNNNNNNNNNNNNNNNNNNNNNNNNNNNNNNNNNNNNNNNNNNNNNNNNNNNNNNNNNNNNNNNNNNNNNNNNNNNNNNNNNNNNNNNNNNNNNNNNNNNNNNNNNNNNNNNNNNNNNNNNNNNNNNNNNNNNNNNNNNNNNNNNNNNNNNNNNNNNNNNNNNNNNNNNNNNNNNNNNNNNNNNNNNNNNNNNNNNNNNNNNNNNNNNNNNNNNNNNNNNNNNNNNNNNNNNNNNNNNNNNNNNNNNNNNNNNNNNNNNNNNNNNNNNNNNNNNNNNNNNNNNNNNNNNNNNNNNNNNNNNNNNNNNNNNNNNCUUCUUCUUCUUCUUCAUUUUUUAUGUUCUAGCUUCCUUUUCUUGAUUUCUCAAUUGAAAACAAGACACACACAAUUACACAAAAGGAAAAGGGACGAAAAAACAAAAAAGAAACAAUAAAAGGAAAAUAGAGCCAAAAGAAAUCUAGCAUCUCUUCAUCUUCAAUCGCUGCUGCUCUUGCUGUUUUAGCCAAAAACGCACCAAAUAGUUCUGUUGUGCAUAUCUCCGGCGAGUUUGGAGGACUGUUGAUUUCGUUCGAGUUCGAGUGUUGUUUCGAAUUUCACGUGUAGUGUGCCCUUCCGUCUAGAAUAAAAAAAUAGAUUUUGAAAAUUAAAAGAAGAAUUCAGGUUCCAAUUGUUGUUAGAUUCCAUUGAUGUUGCUGUUUGGAUGAAAUUUUGCCGAGCUUUGUCGAUUUUGCUCGUCUGUGAUUUCUAAUUUUGUGGCUGAGUCGGAGGGUCAAGUCUCACUAAGGUUUGUUUUUCUUUAUUGUUAAGUUUGAAUCUUCAAUGUUGUUUCACUUUGUAAUAGCUCUUGUCAAGCUUGGACUAACACUGAUUUGGUGCAUAUGCAAAAUGAAACAACAUUUUUCAUCCAAAUCAGUUUUACUCCAAGCUUGACAGGAGCUAUUACAAAAUGAAACAACAUUGAUAAUUCAACCUUAACAAUAAAGAAAAACAGACCUUAGUGAGACUUGACCCUCCGACUCAGCCACAAAAGUAUAAGAUCUGAUUGAUAUAAGGAAUUAGGGAUUUGGUUUUAAUGAGGGUAAGAGUUAAUGGGCCAAAACAAUUGGGCUGGACUAUGGGUAAUUGGGUUAUUUGAGAUUUUUGGGCUUCAAGUUAAGCUGGCCCAGACGAAAUUAAAAGACCAAAUCUUCUUCUUUUUCUUUAUUUUUAUUUUGAUUUCAAAAUCUAAAUGAAUUAAUUAAACAUGCUAAAUAAAAUCCUAAAUUAGGCUCUACCUUAAAUUAUUUCGUAAUGUCAAUCUUACUUAUUUUUACUAAUUUAGCACUAAUUAAUUUAAACUAAAAGCUAGAAUGUGGACAUGACUAUUGUAGUAAUUUUUGUGAUUUUUGUUUAAUGAAUGCAUUUAAAUUAUGAAACUAAAUUCCAAAAUGCAAAUUAAACCUAAGAUGGUAUGGAAUAAAAAUGCAACAAUUUUUUUAUGAUUUUUCUAUGAUUUUAAAAUAUUAAAAAUGCAUGGAAUGCAACUAAAUAAAGAAAAACUCUUAAAAAUCAAUUAAAAUUUUUUUUGGUGUAUUCUUUUGGAGUUAUUUUCAAAUAGAGCAAAAAUUAGGUGCUCACAGCUGCCCCUCUUUGCGCGAAAACAUGAAGAGUUUUUGCAAAGAUAAAGUGAGCAAUUAAGAGAAAUUUUGGCCCGUUUGAAACUCCAUUUGGAAGCAUUUUGAAAAAGUUUGACUGAACCUUGCUUCAGAGGUUCCCUACAUAUCCUUGGCUAUAAAGGAAUCAGGUCGGUGUAGUUCUGAAAAUUUUGGUAGCUGGGACUACCGAGAAGCUGUGAUUUCACUGCUGUUGCUGUUGUUUCUGCUUGGUGAGAUCCUUAUUACACCAAAGUGAAAAAUAAAAGCUAAGCUAGCUAAGCCUAUCAACUAUGAGUUACAAGAUUCCUAUCUAUGAGUCUUCUGAAGCUUGAUCUUGAGUUUUGGUUGGCUCUUCCUGCAGACUCUUAUCUGAAUCUAGAUGCUCGUUAGCUACAACCGCUGGUUCAUUUUCUUCAACUUGUUGGAUCAAGGCGGGACAUGCGAAGCUUGUGACUUCAAUCAAAUUUGAGUAGUCCGCAUCUUUUCUCCACUUUUGCACCUCGAGUUCAACUUCUUUUCUUGUUUCUUUUUUUCUUUUAUUUGAGUUGAGACUUCUUCUUUUGGUUAUCUCAAACCUUGUGCCUCACGGUGAAAAACCUGUUUUAGGCACCAAAGUAAACAAACGAACGAAAUUUUCUGCCCCAAUUUUCACUAGGAAAAUUUCGUGAGUUAUUCGUAACACUAAGCUACUUCUUUAUUGAAAGCAAUAAAAUCAGGAUUGUGUAUCCUUGGGAAAAGAAACUUAGGGAGUGGAGAUCCUGUGUCUAAAAUAAAAUCAACUAGGGAGUGGAGACCCUAUGUUGGAAAAGAUACUAGGUAGUGGAGACCCUAUGUCUAAAAUAAAAUCAACUAGGUAGUGGAGACUCUAUGUUGGAAAAGCAAACUAGGGAGUGGAGACCCUAUGUCUAAAAUAAAAUCAACUAGGGAGUGGAGACCCUAUGUUGGAAAGUGAGACUACUGAAUUAUGUACCUAUGCAAAAAUGAACCAAGAAGGAUUUUUUUUUUAGAAAAAAAAUCAUUUUUUUGUGUUUGAGAAAUUCAUUCUUUUAAACAAAUUGCUCAAACACUUUUUUUCAAAGGCAUGAACAGAUGACUUUUUUUAAAAGAAAUUAUUAUCAUAGGAGAAAAUUUAUCAGACUAGGAUGUUUAUCCAAGGAGAAAGAUUCAACAGACUAGGUUUUCUAUCUUAGGAGAAAGAUUCAUCAAACCAAGAUUUUGAUCCUAGGAGAAAGUUAAUCAGACUAGGGUUUUUUCUUAGGAGAAAGAUUCAUCAGACUAUGAUGUUUAUCCUAGGAGAAAGAUUCAUCAGACUAGGUUUUCUAUCUUAGGAGAAAGAUUCAUCAGACUAGGACUCUUAUUUUUUCUCUAUUAUUUUGGUAUCUUAGGAGAAAGAUUCAUCCGACUAAGACGUUUAUCCUAGGAGAAAAUUCAUCAGACUAGGUUUUCUAUCUUAGGAGAAAGAUUCAUCAAACUAAGAUUUCUAUCCUAGGAGAAAGUUCAUCAGGAUAGGUCUUCUAUCUUAGGAGAAAGAUUCAUCAGACUAAGAUUUUGAUCCUAGGAGAAAGUUCAUCAGGCUAGAUCUCUUUUUUGGUAUCUUAGGAGAAAGAUUCAUUAAACUAAGAUUUCGAUCCUAGGAGAAAGUUCGUCAGACUAGGUUUUCUUAUCUUAGGAGAAAAAAAUUCAUUAGACUAAGACGUUUAUCCUAGGAGAAAAUUCAUCAGACUAGGUCUUCUAUCUUAAGAGAAAGAUUCAUCAGACUAAGAUUUCGAUCCUAGGAGAAAAUUCAUUAGACUAGGUCUUCUAUCUUAGGAGAAAAAUUCAUCAGACUAAGAUUUUGAUCCUAGGAGAAAGUUCAUCAGAAUAGGUCUUUUUUUUGAUUGACUUUCCUUGUACUGCUUUGUUCCUGUUUCAUACAAAGAAAUAUUUGUCAGUUUUGAAAAUGGUGGUCGGUUUGUGGCCUUGAGUCUUGGGCAGCUUGGCUUCUGCUCAAUCAACUUGAGUAUGUUUUAAGAGACUUUUUCUCUUCAUCAACCCUAAUUGUUUCACACCCAGUACCAUUCAUUUUUGUGGUUCAAUCAGCCUUAUUCCAACUGGAGAUCUUUUUUUUAGGUGACUUUUUCUGAUAUCUUGAAUGACUUCCCGCUUUUUGAGCAAUUUGUCCGUCAGAGAGAACCACUAGUUAUCUUUGCUUAUGCCAAGUAGGCUGAUAAGAGUCUUUUAGGGAAGCCUUUGCAUGAAUCCUCAAGGUAUAUUGACAGUAACAACUGAGUGUGAUGGCCAAAUUUACUUUGUGCAACUGAAAAGUUGGUAGCAGAUUUUGAAAUCUUUUCUCACUUGUUUUGACACAUACUGACUCAGAGUCAAGGAAACAAUGAUGCAAAGAAACAAGUACUAACAAGAAAUGCCCCUGUCGGAAGGACAAAAGGAAGAGUUUUUUAUAAUUUUUUUUCGAUAACUAGCCUUAAUGAUCAUGACAUACAUUUGGACUCAAUGGCCUAGUCUAUCAAACUGAUCUAAUCUUCCCUUUUACCAUUCUUAUGACCUUUGAAGUCGGGCUUGUUUGUGCCAAUUCUUUGCAUCAGCUUCACGACUCGCUUUCGACUAGCGGUGCCCCGAGGAAUUUUCACCAACAAGCCUCUAUCAUUUAUUCAUCUUUACUUACCAUCGUCUUAUAGUGCCCGUGAGGGUUUACACUAGUAGGACUCUUUAUUUUUUUCUUCUUUAUUUUUCUUUUUCUUUUGCCUUCUUGUGUGAGCAACUGACAGUGUUCUAUGUUGCAUGAGAGUCGUUGCUCAUUGCAUACUUCUCUUGGCAUUCUUGUAGCUAUAUCGGGAGGUCUUUAUUUAGAAGAUUUUUGGAUAGGAUUGAAAGAAGGGAUGACAUGAAGGCUCAAAGUAGGCUCAAAAUGAGGGGGUUGUAGACUUACAACUCUUGGAAUCGACUCUUUCAAAAGUGAAAUAUAAUCUUUGCCCCAAUUUAAGCUAUUGGGGAUUUUUUGGAAUUUUUUUUCUUUUUUUUUUAGAAUUCUUAUUUGGUUGGACUGAACCGUGAGACUGCCUACGUAUCCUUUUUUAAGGAAUCAGGUCGAACGUAGUUCAAAAAUCUGACCUAACUAUAAUUUUUCUUUCUGUUCCUCUGUCUUUUUCCCUUUUUUUUUUUCUCAUUUUUCUUUUUGUUCGCCCCAGCUUCUAUCUUCUAAGAGCAUGGACUUUUGACAUUUCUUUUCUUCUUCUUUUUUUUUCCACUUGAACUUUCAAAGAGCUGCCCCAGUUUGUACUCUUGGGGCAUAGGCCUUUAUUGUUAUUAUUUUUUUCCUUUUUUUUUUGACUUUUGACUCUAAACCUGAUUCCAAAAGAGAGUGGUCAAAGAAAAUAACACAGGCUCAAAGGGGUGACAAAUGGUAUAAAGUAUUUGGGUAGCAGAAAAAGGGCCUCCCAACCUUGAGAACGCCAAACAUAAUAUCUUUUUGCCAUCACAGCAUUGACGAACAUGUCUGUCUUCUUGGUAUGCCGCGGUCACAAGACAAUUUCCAUCCCUUAAUGUCAAACUUUCCGACAAACUUCAAUUGAUUAAACAUCCUCAAGCCCGAUCUUCACAAUGAUUUGAAGGUGAAUUUUACUCGACCUUAGUUCCAAAGUACUUCAACUCUUUAUUCAUCCUCAAAAGUGUUUUUUUUUUCAGUUAUCGAAUUCCAGAUUAAAUCAGUUUCUAAGAUCUGGCCAAAAUUUCUGCAUGCAUGUCAUUUCAUUAGAACUAGCGAGAAAAGAACUAGAAAUAGAAUGACACGAAAGGACAAACUUUAUUGAGUAAAGGAUAAAAGAGUUUUACAACAAGACAAACAACCUAAGAUCCGAGUUACAAACCUAAAAUAACCCGGAUAAUGAAAAUAACAACAAAACAGACAGACAUGACUCAUACAAACAGAUUAGAAAGAUAGAAGGGUUUGACUCAAUAAAACAAAUAAAUCUAGAUCACAACCCUGAAAUAACCCAGAUAACAGAAAAAACAUCAAAGCAAGCUACCAAGAUUCCUUCCUAGUGAGGAAAGAAUGACUUUUCAAUUGCUAGGUUUAACAUUUAGCCACAAAUUUGCUCAUCAGAAUCAACAGAGCCUUCUCCAAUUUCAAAAUCAUUAACUUCAGUUAGCAAGUUCCUGAGAGGAUUCUCAUACUUCCUGUCAACACGCAUCAUACCCACAAAGUGUUCAUCAUCAUGUGCAGGUAAAGGAUUUUGGGCGAUAUUCCGGGUGUCACUGUCUUGGAUCGCAAUCAGGUUUUCCUGGAUCAUCCUUUCUAUUUCUCUCUUCAAAUCCCGACAACUUUCAACAUUGUGCCUCUGGGCAUUGGAAUGAUAUUCACACCUUUUAGAAGGGUCAAAGCUUCUUGCACGUGGGUCUACAUGAUUUGGAGGAAUGGGUGCAAUCAUGUCAUAAUGUUUUAAAUUUUCAAACAAGCUUGCAUAAGACUUUCUUAUUGGUGUAAAAUUAUCUUUCAACCUUUGUUUCCUUCUAUACCCCUGGCAUGGAUGUGGGUUAUAAGGCACUUGAAAAUUUUGUGGAGGGUGGGGGAGAUUUUGUGGUGCUGGUGCUCGCCUUAUAGGAUAUCUUGGUGGCCGGGCAACAGACUGAGGUGAAGCAACAGAGUAUUGAGGGUUAUGAGGUAGAUAAUAGUGCUCGGGAUCAUCAUCGGAAAACAGACGAGGCUGGUCAUACCUUCGAGAUGCUCUCUUAGGACCUCUUCUCGACCCUGAUGUCAUCAUGAUUUCUUUUUCCUUCUCAUUCGUGUCACUAAAAUUAUCAGAUUCAAGCUGGACAGCUUGAGUUGCGGCUUUGAGAACUGCUUGACUUAUAAUUUUGCCUAUCUUAAGACCAUUAUCAACCAUUUCCCCCAUUUUGAUUACUUCCGAAAAGGAUUUACCCACUGCGGACAUCAUAUUUUGAAAAUAAUCUGGAUCUUGAGCCUGAAGAAAGACAAUGAUUAGCUCGUGGUCGUCCAUAGGUGGCUUAACUCUAGCUGCUUGCUUUCUCCAUUUAAUUACAUAUUCCCUGAAACGUUUAGUUGAUUUCUUCUUCAGGUUUGAAAAGGAAUUGCGGUCUGGGGUGAUAUCGAUGUUGUAUUGGAACUGUUUGACAAAGGCCUGUGCCAUGUCAUCCUAGAUGUACCCGCGAGAUGUGUCUUGAUCCAUAAACCAUUCAGAUGCUACUCCCAUAAGGCUUUCCCCAAAAUAAGCUAUUAGCAAUUCUUCAUUUCUUCUCGCACCUCUUAGUUGAUUGCAAUACCUUUUUAGGUGGGUUAUGGGGUCUCCAUGUCCAUCAUACUUUUCAAAUUUUGUAGUCUUGAAACCAGGCGGCAACUGGACAUCAGGGAACAUACAUAGAUCCUUGUAGGAAACACUUUUCUGACCUUCCAACCCUUGCAUGUUUUUCAACCGUUGCUCUAAGCUUUUUACUCUUUGGGUCAUUUCUUCCUGUGCCAUCUUUCGGGCAGGCUUCUCAAUGUUUGUAGGAAGAUUAAACGAGUAUGAGUGGUACUGCUCUUGCUAGGUAGAAAAUUGUGACUCAUGAGUUUUCCUAUACACCACCGUCGGCUGUGGGAUGGUGAAGACAGUCAUAACAGUAGAGGUUGUCUGAUUGGUUGUGAAUGACAAACUUUGAGAGCAUGCAAUAGAAGUCCCAGCUGUAGUCGUUCAUUUGGGAUAAGGGCUGAACCCAGGUGGACAGGAUUGAUCAGACAAUGAAACCGGAAUGGUAGUAGCCGAGAUGGAUGUGAACUUUGGGAAACCAUGAGAAGAAAAAGGCGGUCCUUGUCCAUUGGCCCAUGCUUGACACAUUUCAGUCAUUUUUNNNNNNNNNNNNNNNNNNNNNNNNNCAUUUUUCUUUUCAAUGGUUGAUCGAACCUGAUGUGGGUUGCCUACGUAUCGUGUGAGAAUAUGAAUCAGACCUUGCGUAGUUCGGGAAUAUUAAGAAUAAAGUAAAUAAACUAACUUUUUUUUUGGAUUUUGAAUUUUGAAUUUUAUUUUUCGAAAGAAAAACUUAUAAAGAAGAAAGAGAAUAUUUUUUAUUUUGAUUUUUCUUCAAAAUUUUUGUAAAGAAAGACUUCUAAAGAAAAGAGAUAUUUUUUUGAAUAUCGACCUUUUUUUUUCUUUUUUUUUUUUAAUUUCGAAACAAGAACUUCUAAAGAAGAAAGAAAAUAUUUUGGAAUUUUAUUUUGAAUUUAUGAAGAAAUGCUUCUAAAGAAAAAAGAAAAUAUUUUUGAACCUUGAAUUUUCUUUUCAAUUUUUUGAAAGAAGAAUGAAAUUUUUUUUGGAUUUUGAGAAGAAAUUAAAAGAAAAUAGCUUUGUAUAUUUUUUUUAAAAAAAUUGAGGUCUAAAAGAAAGACUUUCUAAAGAAGAAAUUGAUGAAAAAUAUUUUUGGAUUUUUUUAAAAUUGUGGGCCGAAACUGAUGAGGUUUGCCUACGUAUCUCACAUCCGGUGAGAAUCAGACCCGCGUAGUUCGCCUAUUUUGACAGAACAAGGGAAACAUGACACUUUAAAAAUUUUGGCUCAUUAAAUGACUUUUCUUUUUUCAGAAUUUCGGCAGAGUUUCAAAAUUUUCUAAAUAUCUACCUCACUUUUUUUGAUUUUCUAUUUUUCCUCUUCUUUUCUUUUUUGAUUUUCUUUCCCUAUUCUAGAAGCCGGGCCGAAACAAACAGAUGCGCAAGUAGCACGUAGGAUGCAUUAGGAUGGUCUUUUAAUUUGGGUAAACCUGUCCUAGACGGACUCAACCCCUGUGUUGAGUCCCUAAAGUCAAAUGCACGUGAUGCAAACAAACGUUCCUACUAGGGAUCCAACAUGAGGCUGAGUUAUUCUAGAUUUUAAAACCUGGUUAUAUUGUUCUGGACUUGGUGUACCCGAGCGGGCAACUCGAGCCGGGGGGUGGGGAGGGGAGGGGCUACGUAUCGGGAACCAAAAGGCCAUACGGCUUUGUAACUUGUCCGAGCCUCUUUCUAAUUUAAGGUAUGACACUAACAGAAAGAGGAGUCAUGCCAGUGUGCACAUCCCCGAAGAUGAGAAGAGAAAGGCUUCGUAACAAUUUAUAUACAUUUCAAAUAAUAUCAAAGUGGUAAAAAGCGACAUUUAGCAUAUUUGACCCAAACAUGUAAUAACAAUCAUAUAAUAAAUAAAAGCCAAUUAUAACAGUUAUUCUAAGCUCGAAUUCUUGAACCCUGAACUGGAAGUUCUGGGUUACUUUCCCCAGCGGAGUUUCCAGAGCUGUCACACCUCAUUUGUUUACACCCCGAGGGCAGAUAUACGGGAGUUUUUCCAAUUAAAGUGACAUUAUUCGAUAUGGGAUUAUUUAAUUAUCAGAGUCACCACUUGGGAUAGUUUAUUUGGUGUCCCAAGUCACCGGUUUAUUUUAAAAUCCCAAAUCGAGGAAAUUUCGACUUUAUUUAAAAGUCUGCGAAACCAGAAAUUCUAUUAACCCGGGAGAAGGUGUUAGGUAUUCCUGGGUUCCGUGGUUCGAUCAUGGUCGCUUAAACUAUUAAAAUUUGCCUAAUUAUCUGAUUACUACAUGUUUUAAACCUAUUGUGCAUUUUUAGAUUUAUAACCGCUUUUAAUUAUUUUAGACUGCUUUUAGGAAGAUUCAAUGUUAUUUAAAACACGUCUUAAACCACGCUAUAUGAAAUGCAUCCAUGAUUCGCGACACAUUCUAUUUAACAUUGUUGAGAAAUUGAAAUUGGGUCACACGAAAUGUACACCGGGAUUAAAAUCACAACUACAUUACGGGAACCGUACCCGUAGCUAUGAUUGAAUUGUUUAAAUAAUGCGUCCAAAGCAACUAAGACGAUUCAAUUUUCAAUAGUAACAUUUUUAAGGGCCAUGGAUGAUUUAAUUAUUUAUGGCAAACCUCAAACCUUUUUCUGUAAGCGUUAGUUCUUGAAUCUAAUCUUAUGAGGGCGUUGGAUUAUAAAUUUUGUUUGGCAUGACACGUCUCAAUUUAUUUCAAAGGGUUUUAUUAUUCAAAAUUGUUAUAAUCGGGUUACAUGAAAUGUACCCCCGAAUUGGGAUUUACGUAUCGUGACCAUGCCACGGGAACCAUACCCAUAGUCACGAUGGUUUAUUAUAAAGCGCGCCUAAAGUAAACUACGAGUGUUUAAAGGUGUUUUCUAUACUAAGUUAAUGUUAAUAUGAGGGCCAUAGCUUAUGGAUUUUUAUGUGUGUAUGACAAACCUCAAUUUAUUUUACAAGGUUUGUACUCAAUUAAAACAAACUAAGAUCAAUACUACAGAACAUGUUGGGCCUUAUCCAUAUCUACGAACUAAUAUCUAACUUAUGUAACUUUGUAAUUGUUUUAACUAGCAUCUAAUUUCAUUUAACAAAUAAAAGAAGAAAUUAAACCAUGAACAUUUAAGAUAUUUUUAAACAAACAUGCUGAAUGUCACAUGCCAAAAAAACGACAUGUCAAAAACGGAGAAGGAGUCAGAAUAUGCACCAAAUCAGUUUUAAUCCAAGCUUAACCGGAGCUAUUACAAAAUGAAACAACAUUGAAGAUUCAACCUUAACAAUAAAGAAAAACAGACCUUAGUGAGACUUGACCUUCCGACUCAGCCACAAAAUUAGAAAUCACAGACGAGCAAAAUCGACGGAGCUCGGCAAAAUUUCAUCCAAACAACAACAUCAAUGGAAUCUAACAACAAUUUGAACCUGAAUUCUUCUUUUAAUUUUCAAAAUCUAUUUUUUCAUUCUAGACGGAAGGGAGCACUACACGUGAAAUUCGCAAUAGAAAUCGAACAAAAUCAACAGUCCUCCAAACUCACCGAAAAUAUGCACGACAGAACUGUUUGGUGCAUUUUUGCCUAAAACAGCAAGAGCAUCGGCGAUUGAAGAUGAAGAGCUGCUAGGUUUCUUUUGGCUCUUUUUUCCUUUUCUUGUUUCUUUUUUGUUUUCCCAUCCCUUUUCCUUUUGUGUAAUUGUGUGUGUCUUGUUUUCAAUUGAGAAAUCAAGAAAAGGAAGUUAGAACCUAAAAUAUGAAAAAGAAGAAGAAAAUGAGUAGCGACUCUCAAAGUNNNNN